rnacentral:tRNA from 1 species
AUCGGCAUGGUCAGGGCCACGAUGCGGCCGCCGGCCCUGCGGGCCCGUUCGCUGGCGAGGAGUUGGCGGGGCACGCGUUCGGGGACCGCGGCGUCGAUG